ensembl:lncRNA RPL23AP7 ribosomal protein L23a pseudogene 7
AGCGCGGCGCCUGGCGGGAGGGCCGCAGGGAGUGCGCAUGCGGCCGAGUGCGGGACUGGGGCUCCUGGCUGUGGGUGUGGUACCGAGGCUUCAGCGGGUGCCGCCCGCCUAGAGGGAGUGGAGCGAGAGCCUACGACUAGAUUUGCAUCUUUACGUCCUGCGCGGAGGCUGCUACACACAUGCAGAAGUCAUGCUGGUGGCCUGGACAGUGAAGGGAGAGAAGUGGAUUUGGGAGACAUUUAGGAGGAACAGUAAGAGGACCUUGUGCAUGAAUAAUUUGUUUCCACACUACAGAAAGAAUCCCAGACUUCUUAGAGAACCCAGUGACUUUUUGCACCUUAAAUCUGUGAAAUCCUCAUGUUUUCUUCUGCCGUAUCCAUAGUUCAAACAAAGAUGAGGCAAAGCUAGAUGCAUUCCUGAAGGAACCCAAGAAAUUCCUCUCUUUAUUUCUCUGGAAUGAAAUGAAUUCUCUAGACCACCAGUUCUAACCUUCAAAAACCAAACCUGUUUGUGAGAUCUCCUUCAAAUACUACUGUAGACCCCAGUGUUUAUUCAUUAAAUUUUUAAAAUAUUUGUUUUAUUUGGAAUCCAUGUAUUUGUAAUUUUAGUGUUUGUAUUAAUAUAAGGGAGAAAUGUUUAAAUCUGUCUAUGCCAUAUGUGCCUCUGGCUUAUUGCCCAAUUAAUUGUAGACUCAGGCUAAACUUUGGUUUCUGUCUUUAAUUUUUGUCAGAAGAAAUAUAACUGAUCUCAAAACA